GAUGAGAACGCAGCGAAAUGCGAUAAGUAAUGUGAAUUGCAGAAUUCAGUGAAUCAUCGAAUCUUUGAACGCACAUUGCGCCCCCUGGUAUUCCGGGGGGCAUGCCUGUUCGAGCGUCAUUUCACCACUCAAGCCUCGCUUGGUAUUGGGCAACGCGGUCCGCCGCGUGCCUCAAAUCGACCGGCUGGGUCUUGUGUCCCCUAAGCGUUGUGGAAACUAUUCGCUAAAGGGUGUUCGGGAGGCUACGCCGUAAAACAACCCCAUUUCUAAGGUUGACCUCGGAUCAGGUAGGGAUACCCGCUGAACUUAAGCAUAUCAAUAAGCGGAGGA
rnacentral:misc_RNA from 1 species